rnacentral:misc_RNA from 1 species
GAUGAAGAACGCAGUGAAAUGCGAUAAGUAAUGCGAAUUGCAGAAUUUCCGUGAGUCAUCGAAUCUUUGAACGCACAUUGCGCCCGCCAGCAUUCUGGCGGGCAUGCCUGUUCGAGCGUCAUUUCAACCCUCAAGCUCUGCUUGGUGUUGGGGCCCUACGGUUGACGUAGGCCCUUAAAGGUAGUGGCGGACCCUCUCGGAGCCUCCUUUGCGUAGUAACUAACGUCUCGCAUUGGGAUUCGGAGGGACUCUUGCCGUAAAACCCCCAAAUUUUCUAAUGGUUGACCUCGGAUCAGGUAGGAAUACCCGCUGAACUUAAGCAUAUCAAUAAGCGGAGGA